rnacentral:lncRNA from 1 species
UUGACUAUGAGAGUGUGGAGAACAUUGAGUUUUGGAUUACUGGAGAAGAAGAAGAAGCUACAUUGAUUGAUUAUGAUGAAAUAGAAAAAAUGUUCUAUCAUGACUUGUCAAAUCCAAUAUAUGAUUUAACAAAGGAUGAUGAAGGUUUGUUUUAAACAAAUUAUAAUGUACAACAAUUUUCUAAUUGUUCUACAAAUUAUAAUGUACAACAAUUUUCUAAUUGUUCUACAAAUUAAUGUAAUGUAUAUUUUAUUUUGUAGGUAUUGUUGAAGAACGAAAUGUUACUAUUGAUGGAGAGCUUAAUUUGGACUCUUUUCCUCAAGAAGAUGUAGAUAGUUAUACUCCAACUACAUAUCUAACCGGC